rnacentral:rRNA from 1 species
UACGUAGGGUGCGAGCGUUAAUCGGAAUUACUGGGCGUAAAGCGUGCGCAGGCGGUGAGUUAAGUCUGAUGUGAAAGCCCCGGGCUCAACCUGGGAAUGGCAUUGGAAACUGGCUCGCUGGAGUGUGGCAGAGGGGGGUGGAAUUCCGCGUGUAGCAGGUGAAAUGCGUAGAGAUGCGGAGGAACACCGAUGGCGAAGGCAGCCCCCUGGGCCAACACUGACGCUCAGGCACGAAAGCGUGGGGAGCAAACAGG